rnacentral:rRNA from 1 species
UACGAAGGGGGCUAGCGUUGUUCGGAAUUACUGGGCGUAAAGCGCGCGUAGGCGGUUUUUCAAGUCAGUGGUGAAAGCCCGGAGCUCAACUCCGGAACUGCCAUUGAAACUGUGAAACUUGAGGAUGAGAGAGGGAAGUGGAAUUCCCGGUGUAGUGGUGAAAUGCGUAGAUAUCGGGAGGAACACCAGUGGCGAAGGCGACUUCCUGGCCUGUUCUUGACGCUGAGGCGCGAAAGCUAGGGUAGCAAACGGG